rnacentral:rRNA from 1 species
UGAGGAAUAUUGGUCAAUGGGCGAGAGCCUGAACCAGCCAAGUCGCGUGAAGGAAGACGGCCCUAUGGGUUGUAAACUUCUUUUGUAGGGGAAUAAAAAGGGGCACGCGUGCUCUGUUGUAGGUACCCUACGAAUAAGGAUCGGCUAACUCCGUGCCAGCAGCCGCGGUAAUACGGAGGAUCCGAGCGUUAUCCGGAUUUAUUGGGUUUAAAGGGUGCGUAGGCGGGGAUACAAGUCAGUGGUGAAAGUUUGCAGCUCAACUGUAAAAUUGCCAUUGAAACUGUAUUUCUUGAGUACAGAAGAGGUAAGCGGAAUGUGUAGUGUAGCGGUGAAAUGCAUAGAUAUUACACAGAACACCGAUAGCGAAGGCAGCUUACUGGUAUGUAACUGACGCUGAGGCACGAAAGCGUGGGGAUCAAACAGG